UGUGAGGAACUUGACUAAACGUGCAUGUUUGUUGUUCAGAGCAGAAACUUCAGAACUUCAUCGAAAACUUUGGCAGGCUACCAACCCCCCACUGUUUCCCUGGCAACCCGGCUCCAGUGACGUGCCAGCAGUGGACUCCUGGUACAGGGCCAGUGCAGAAGUGUGGUGGAACGUCUAGAGGCAUCUCCUCCACAGCCAGGCCCGGGUCAAGCGUCAGGCCAACCGUCACCGACAUCCACUCUCCUUCUUACCUGGGCAGAGGGUCUGGCUAUCUACGAAAGGACUCAGGGGGGCCUACCUGUCAAAGAAACUCAGCCCCAGGACGGGGAUGCCCCCGCAUACACGGUGCGGGUCCUCCUGGAUUCCCGUCGUCGGGGAGGUGCUCUCCAAUACCUGGUCGACUGGGAAGGUUAUGGGCCGGAGGAGCAGUGUUGGGUGACUGCGCGGGAUGUGCUUGACCCGGAUCUAAUCUCUGCCCUUCAUAGGGGCCAUCCCGACCAUCUUGCGCCCAGGCCCCGGGGUCGUCCCUCAGGCCGCCGCAGGAGAGGGGGUACUGUCACGCCCUCCACUUCACCUCAGCGAGGAACACCUGUGGUGGCUCACGGGACAGGCGCAUAAAAGGAGAGCUCAGAGCCCAGGCAGAUGCAGAACCUCAUUCAGCCUUAGUACUCGCUUGCAUUACCUCUGCUCUCCUGCCGCUCCAGAUCCCCCGUCCUCGUUUCCUUGUUCCCUCUCUUUUCCUUGUCUCCACGUCUUCCUGGUUUUCCUCGACUUCUUGCCUGUGUAUUGGAUUACGGCUCUUGGACUCUCCCUUCGGACUACAUUUGCUCAUCGAUGACUGUUUGCCUGUUUCUCCAACCACGUCUUUCAGAUUUCCCCUCAUGAAACUUUCCUGUGCUCCGCGCUUGGGUCCGACGCUUCCGCUCCGGGUGGACACCGUGACACUCUGCUUCUUUUGAAACAUUUAAAGCGGCACUUGAUAUUUGUGAGACAUACGUUGUCUCUCCAUGACUGAUGCUAUGACGUGAGCCAGCUGUCUUUUUAUGGAAGAAUACAUAUGAAAUGUGUCUUAGAAAAGUUUCUGAAAAUACGUGACUCAAAAGACUUGACAUCAGGGACCAGUUACGUAUAUUCAACAUAGCGAGUGACAGGCAUUGUUUCAUGAAGCGUCCAGAAGAUCUGACAGCUGAGAGAUCUCCUUGGCCAUCUGACAAUAAAAUGAU